CCUACGGGGGGCUGCAGUGGGGAAUAUUGGACAAUGGGGGCAACCCUGAUCCAGCCAUGCCGCGUGUGUGAAGAAGGCCCUCGGGUUGUAAAGCACUUUCAGUGAGGAAGAACGCCUGGUGGUUAAUACCCAUCAGGAAAGACAUCACUCACAGAAGAAGCACCGGCUAACUCCGUGCCAGCAGCCGCGGUAAUACGGAGGGUGCGAGCGUUAAUCGGAAUUACUGGGCGUAAAGCGCGCGUAGGUGGCUUGAUAAGCCGGUUGUGAAAGCCCCGGGCUCAACCUGGGAACGGCAUCCGGAACUGUCAAGCUAGAGUGCAGGAGAGGAAGGUAGAAUUCCCGGUGUAGCGGUGAAAUGCGUAGAGAUCGGGAGGAAUACCAGUGGCGAAGGUGGCCUUCUGGACUGACACUGACACUGAGGUGCGAAAGCGUGGGUAGCAAACAGGAUUAGAUACCCGGGUAGUC
rnacentral:rRNA from 1 species